UUGAACGCUGGCGGCAGGCCUAACACAUGCAAGUCGAGCGGAUGAAGGGAGCUUGCUCCUGGAUUCAGCGGCGGACGGGUGAGUAAUGCCUAGGAAUCUGCCUGGUAGUGGGGGAUAACGUCCGGAAACGGGCGCUAAUACCGCAUACGUCCUGAGGGAGAAAGUGGGGGAUCUUCGGACCUCACGCUAUCAGAUGAGCCUAGGUCGGAUUAGCUAGUUGGUGGGGUAAAGGCCUACCAAGGCGACGAUCCGUAACUGGUCUGAGAGGAUGAUCAGUCACACUGGAACUGAGACACGGUCCAGACUCCUACGGGAGGCAGCAGUGGAAUAUUGGACAAAGGGCGAAAGCCUGAUCCAGCCAUGCCGCGUGUGUGAAGAAGGUCUUCGGAUUGUAAAGCACUUUAAGUUGGGAGGAAGGGCAGUAAGUUAAUACCUUGCUGUUUUGACGUUACCAACAGAAUAAGCACCGGCUAACUUCGUG
rnacentral:rRNA from 1 species